rnacentral:rRNA from 1 species
GACGAACGCUGGCGGCGUGCUUAACACAUGCAAGUCGAACGGAAAGGCCCUGCUUUUGUGGGGUGCUCGAUUGGCGAACGGGUGAGUAACACGUGAGUAACCUGCACUUGACUUUGGGAUAACUUCAGGAAACUGGGGCUAAUACCGGAUAGGAGCUCCUGCUGCAUGGUGGGGGUUGGAAAGUUUCGGCGGUUGGGGAUGGACUCGCGGCUUAUCAGCUUGUUGGUGGGGUAGUGGCUUACCAAGGCUUUGACGGGUAGCCGGCCUGAGAGGGUGACCGGCCACAUUGGGACUGAGAUACGGCCCAGACUCCUACGGGAGGCAGCAGUGGGGAAUAUUGCACAAUGGGCGGAAGCCUGAUGCAGCAACGCCGCGUGCGGGAUGACGGCCUUCGGGUUGUAAACCGCUUUCGCCUGUGACGAAGCGUGAGUGACGGUAAUGGGUAAAGAAGCACCGGCUAACUACGUG